GGCGGACGGGUGAGUAACGCGUGAGAAUCUGCCUUCAGGAUGGGGACAACAGUUGGAAACGACUGCUAAUACCCGAUAUGACGAAAGUUGAAAGAUUUAUCGCCUGGAGAUGAGCUCGCGUCAGAUUAGCUAGAUGGUGUGGUAACGGCGCACCAUGGCGACGAUCUGUAGCUGGUCUGAGAGGAUGAGCAGCCACACUGGGACUGAGACACGGCCCAGACUCCUACGGGAGGCAGCAGUGGGGAAUUUUCCGCAAUGGGCGCAAGCCUGACGGAGCAAUACCGCGUGAGGGAGGAAGGCUCUUGGGUCGUAAACCUCUUUUCUCAGGGAAGAACAAAAUGACGGUACCUGAGGAAUCAGCAUCGGCUAACUCCGUGCCAGCAGCCGCGGUAAUACGGAGGAUGCAAGCGUUAUCCGGAAUGAUUGGGCGUAAAGCGUCCGUAGGUGGUCAUGUAAGUCUGUGGUUAAAGCGUGGGGCUCAACCCCAUAAAGGCCAUGGAAACUACACGACUAGAGUCAAGUAGGGGUAGAGGGAAUUCCCAGUGUAGCGGUGAAAUGCGUAGAGAUUGGGAAGAACACCGGUGGCGAAAGCGCUCUACUGGACUUAAACU
rnacentral:rRNA from 1 species